ensembl:lncRNA
UUUUCUCUGUGUGCUAAGGGCUGAUUAAUACAUGGCCAUUACACGUAACGUCACAAAGUAACGCAGGCCAGUUAUUACAAUGGAAGCCGCCAGUAACACUGAACUGUUUUACUGUGUUUCAGCACAAUAAAUCUUCAUGUGCACCUGAAUGAACCCUGUCGUCCUUCAGUGUGUAACACUAGGAACCACAAGUAAGCCUGCAGUCUGAGAGCGAUGUCCUCUGAUGGGAUUAUACGUGAAUCGAGGAUAAGCCAGUAGCCGUGGGACCUUUGUUGGUGGGCCGUUUUCUACACUUCUUUUGUCGUACAGCACCUUGAGUUUAUAGUUGGCUUUGUAUGUGUGAUUUUCUUCAGUCAUGGUCCUCAGCUACUGGUAAGUCCAGUUCAUUAUAUGGUGGGUUUAUUGAAUUUAGGACACUACUACAGGAUAGGAUGUGCCACAGUCAACUUUUAUCAACUUUUAUCAACGUGCUCUAUUCUUUAAAAAAAAAAAAAAAAAAUUGUUUUAACAAAUGCAGUUAUCCAUCCAUCCUCAUCCGCUUUAUCCGAAGUCGGGUCGCGGGGGCAGCAGCCUAAGCAGAGAAGCCCAGACCUCCCUCUCCCCAGCCACCUCCUCCAGCUCAUCCGGGGGAACACCAAGGCGUUCCCAGGCCAGCCGAGAGAUAUAAUCUCUCCAGCGCGUCCUGGGUCUGCCCCGGGGCCUCCUCCCGGUGGGACAUUCCAAAUGCAGUUAUUAAAGGUAUAUUUAUACUGGAGCCAAUCUGCCUCAGUAGUGCAUACUCAAACCUGUCUAAUCUUUUCUGGUUGGUUUAAAAAGACUCUUUAUAUUUCCUAGGGGUGACAUUCUCCUAGGUGGUGUUGUCACAUUUUAAUCAUAACCCCUCUGACCACCUACCCACACAAUCAAAACCACUGGUCCAGGAAGUUAAUAUCAUUAAAAUUCUAAUUGUAAAAAAUCUAUUUUAUGCACUUAUCUUCAUUCUGUUCUUACAUCUUUUGUCUUUCAAUCACUGUGUAUUAAAUGUCUUGAAAUUUUAAGCAGGGAACUGAAUUUACUCAAGCAGGGUUUUCUCAGAAUACACUUCAUGCAGAGUUAUUUAAAAUUACAUGACCCUGAAUUAUUUAUAACAGCAGCUGAGCACAGUGUAGUCAGCACAGGUUAAUUUCCUCACCAUUAUUAUCUCUUUUACUCCCAGGUUACACCAGACAUCUGUAAAAUGAAUACCUGAAAUCAUGUCUCCCCUUUGGGCUGCAUUUUCAAUGUUAUCUUUUGAUCCUUUUAAAGCUUACUGCAUUCAUGAACCUGCUGCUAUAAUGUACAAAACACACA